rnacentral:ncRNA from 1 species
UUAUCAAGAGAGAUUGAGGGAUAUGGCCCGAUGAAAUCUCAGCAGCGGACUCUAUAAAGAGAACUGUGCUAAAUCCAUCAAGUUUUAAACUUGGCAGAUAAA